CCGAGUUUACAACUCCCAAACCCUGUGAACAUACCACUUGUUGCCUCGGCGGAUCAGCCCGCUCCCGGUAAAACGGGACGGCCCGCCAGAGGACCCCUAAACUCUGUUUCUAUAUGUAACUUCUGAGUAAAACCGUAAAUAAAUCA
rnacentral:misc_RNA from 1 species